rnacentral:lncRNA from 1 species
GGAACCAAUUGAGAGACAGUGGGUAGGACAAGGGAUAGUUUUCACUGCGGCCGCGGACUCUCUCUGGAACUGGCAGUUUGGAUUGCAGGCUUUAAGCUGUCCUUGUUUUGAGGAUUGGGUUUCCUGACUCUCCUUGCCUACGAGUUUGUCUUCUGUCACUAUCACAGGCAUUCAUGAUCUCUUAGGAAACCUUUCCUAUCAGGAGUCAUCAAAGUGGUUGCUCUAUAUACAUUAUAUCUUAGUUCUUGUGACAGUGGUGAUGGUUGAUUGAACAGAAUGGACACCUGAAUGAAGCCCAGCCACUUGAUUGGUGAGGAACAUUUAAAACUUCACCAUCGCACCAUUAAUGAUGAGGAAUUACUUUUAUACUUCUGAUUUGCUGAGAAGUUUUAUGCAGAA